AUGAAGGUAAAAGAAAUUGGAGGUGAUAAUGAUGUAGGCCACUUUUCACCAUUGACUAAAGAUACAUUUUUUAGUCUUGAAAAGGAGGAAGUGACUGUUGAGAAUAAGUCUCCGAUUGAAGGUGAACAUCGCGUUAAUGAUUCUCCUCCUGCAAGUGAUAUUGUUGAAUCAAGUCGCAAGAGAGGUUUGAGAAGGCUGGAAAAGCAGUCCUAUCGUAACCAGUAUGCUUGUGAAGAGUGCGUAAUGAAGUUUCGAUUUUUAAAAGACUUGCAGCAACACUUACGAGAACACUCCAAUUCCUUUAAUGCAGUGGGACAAAGUUCACCAUUCCAGCCUGAAUGCACCUACAAGAAGAGAAAAUUACCUUCUUUAGAUCAUUCACAGCUGUGUCAGUAUUCAAAGGAAUCUCAAGAACAUCAACUGAACAUUAAUAUUAAGGCAUACUGCUGCAUUGAAUGUCCCCGUAAGUUUAGCCUAGUGGAAGACUUAUACAGACAUUCUAAACAGCACACACAUAACUUUAAUUCCGGUCUUGAGGAGCCAGAAAUAAAAAAUUUCCCUGAGGAAACCAGAUUCAAAAUGUAUCCUGAGAACAAGUUUUAUCACUGUUCGGAUUGUCCUCUAAAAUUUCGAUAUUUAAAAUGUUUUCACAAACACUUAGAAAGACAUAAAGCUAGUGCUACUGAAAGCUCUUCCACUAGCUCAGAAUCUAAGCAGUUAAUGUUGCUGAAAGAAGUUAGAGUUAACCUUGGAAGAAGAGUAGAAAUUAAAGAAUCUGAUGGUCUGGAAGAUCCUGUUACUAUUACUGAAUCAAAGUUAAAGCCAACUUUAAACGGUAAGCAAGAUAGUGUGUGCCUCACUCAAGAUGAAAAUCGACAUUGUUGCCCAGAUUGUUCGCUCAAGUUUAGAACCUUCCGGGCUCUGCACUGCCAUUCAGUCGUGCAUAAGAAAAUGAAUGGAUUAAGUCAGGAGACAGACGCCAUAGUAGACUGCAAAGGAGAGGAAUCAAAUUCUGAAAGGAGCUGCUCUCCCAAAAAACUCUUACUCACUUGUCCUUAUCGCCCAAAACAAUCUGAGUGUAAGAAAGUAAUUGAAGAGCAUCUUCUUUUACACAAUAAAAAUGAAGCGAUUGAUUACCAAAGACAUGCACCCGGGCAUAUUGAAGAAAAGCUCUUCUCUUGUGUGCUCUGUCCCUCUAAAAUGAAAUGUGAGAGAAGCCUUAAAGAUCACUCGCAAAUGCAUUCACAAGAUGAACCAGAAGAGAAGCCCCUGGAUGUUCAAAAUGUCCCAAAUGAUACUUCUUUCACUCCUAGUGACCAAGUUGGAUUAUUGACAGCCCCUUGUCAAAAUCAGUCUCAGAGUCCUGAGGAACAACAUUCUUCCUCUAAUCCUAGAGACCCAGUCAAGUUAUUAACAGCUUCUCACCAAAAUCAGUGCCAAGGUCUUGAGGAAAGUCCCUUCACAUGCCAUCUUUGCGUCUCUAGAUUCACUCAGAGUGCUGAUUUGUUAAGCCAUCUCAGAAGUGUGCAUUCUGAACCGAAAAGUUUUAGCUGUGAACUAUGCCCUCGAAUAUUUUUUCAAGAAAGCACCCUCAAACUACACUUACAAACACAUGAAGAAGACCGGUUCGUUUGUAUGGUAUGUCUUGCUAACUUUAAUGAGAAAAGAGACUGA
rnacentral:lncRNA from 1 species